rnacentral:snoRNA from 1 species
CACCCUCUGUUUACAUUGCCUGUUGGACUUAGUUGUUACUGGUUAUUCAAGUGGGGCAAAGGAGAUAUCUUUUCAAAACUCAGGCAAACUGAGUGUCUUGUGUCCUGUCAGAGAAAACAUAU